rnacentral:rRNA from 1 species
GAUGAACGCUAGCGGCAGGCUUAAUACAUGCAGUCGAGGGGCAGCAUGAUUGUAGCAAUACAAUUGAUGGCGACCGGCAAACGGGUGCGGAACACGUACACAACCUCCCAAUAAGUGGGGAAUAGCCCAGAGAAAUUUGGAUUAAUACCCCGUAACAUAACGAUGUGGCAUCACAUUGUUAUUAUAGAUUUUUCGCUUAUUGAUGGGUGUGCGGCUGAUUAGAUAGUUGGCGGGGUAACGGCCCACCAAGUCUACGAUCAGUAGCUGAUGUGAGAGCAUGAUCAGCCACACGGGCACUGAGACACGGGCCCGACUCCUACGGGAGGCAGCAGUAAGGAAUAUUGGACAAUGGACGCAAGUCUGAUCCAGCCAUGCCGCGUGAAGGAUUAAGGUCCUCUGGAUUGUAAACUUCUUUUAUAAGGGACGAAAAAAGGCUUUUCUAAGUCGUCUGACGGUACCUUAUGAAUAAGCACCGGCUAACUCCGUGCCAGCAGCCGCCGUAAAAC